rnacentral:rRNA from 1 species
UACGUAGGGGGUAAGCGUUGUCCGGAUUUAUUGGGCGUAAAGAGCGUGUAGGCGGCUUGGUAGGUCCGCUGUGAAAACUCGGGGCUCAACCUCGAGAUGUCGGCGGAAACCACUUGGCUAGAGUCCGGAAGAGGAGAGUGGAAUUCCUGGUGUAGCGGUGAAAUGCGCAGAUAUCAGGAAGAACAUCUAUGGCGAAGGCAGCUCUCUGGGACGGUACUGACGCUGAGACGCGAAAGCGUGGGGAGCGAACAGG